UGCUUAGCAUAACUUUUAAGUAUUCAAGAGGUUGGUUUCGUUUCAGAGUUGCUAUUUCUUCUGAAGAAAAACCCCUAGUGCUUCUUGUCGAAACUUUGCCUUCAGGAAUAACCAGAACUGUUGGAGUAGCAAGAGUUUGACUCUGAUUCUGUCCUUCGAUUGUGUCCUGGUUCCCCUCACCAUUGUUGUCCUCUUCUUCAAAGUCACCAU
rnacentral:lncRNA from 1 species